AUGGCCUCCCACUCCAACUUGGUUCCUCUGCUUCUUGGCCAAGGUUGGCGUAGUGGUGCUGGAUGUGGACUCAGAACUGUCAAGUCCUGGAUUCAAGUGUGGGUUUCCAUCUCAUCUGUUGUUUCGCCUUCUACAAAGUUAAAAGAAUCAUUACCUCCCAGUGUGAUGCAAGGUGCUUCCACUGGCUGAACUUAACAAGAAAUGGACAAGCAAAGCAAUGCAGCAGGGCCAGAUUUGUAAAGGACACACAGUUUACUACUUUGAAAACAGAAGUUCAGGAUCUUCCAGUGGUGCCAUGUUGAACCAGAACUCCCCUUCUCCCACUGACCCACAGAACCUACGGCCACAUAAGGAAUAAUUUGCUCUGAAAAAGAGCUAGAACCUAGCCAAGAACUCCUACACAUGAGGCGAAGAAGAAGA